rnacentral:lncRNA from 1 species
GACGAAUGAAAGAUAAAUGAAAACUAUGAAAAUUUGAAACCAAAUCCCGACAAUCGUUUAAAACAUAAACAAAAUAGGAAGCACCCUGCCUAGCUUUGUGCCAAGCCUCAAACAAUUGGAGGCAAUCAGCUUCACACAAAUAUCAGAAAAAAAUAAAUCAACUGCUAAAGAAAGACACCAACGAAAAGCUAAAACCUCAUCAAACAAAGGAGAAAGGCUUCAAGCGGGUAUAUCUUCGCCAUUUCUAUAACCUCCCCCUUCCAUUUUGAGCGGCACAACCAGCUCCCGCUUGCUUCCCAUGCACGAACGACCAGUCAAAGUUGAGUUUUACCACAUCCAAACUCGGUCUGCUCCACGAAGCUUGCAGCUCACAGUCGCUGACGCCAUCAAGGUUUUGAGAGGAUGAACCAAUUUCAAAACCACCGGUUCCACCCCUUGGAACAACCAUCGAUUUCUUGCCUCUCAAACGACAUACAAGAAAGUGAUACAAGACCCCACAAAUUCUGCGUCAUCAAGCUCAAACAGACGCUGAAAAAAACUCCCAACCGUGCUAUCUCCCUGCACCCGCAAACCACCUGGACAUGUGAACUACCAUCUGGAUACCACAGGGCAGCCAAGAAGAACAUGGUCGAUAGACUCCGGAGCUGCGUCGAAAAAUGGGCAAACCUCCUCGAUGUCAACAUCUUGUACCCGAAGAGCCCCACGAACUAGAAGGAUACCAUGGGUAGCACGCCAAGCCACCUCCUUACAGCGAGGAAGAGCUUGAACACGCCACAACACCUUCCAAAAACGCUGAGGCAGCUGCUGCGAAUGGGAGGAUGACGCUGCCCCCAUCUCUCUCCAUUGUCGGAUGAAAGAAAAACCCGACUUUGUAGUAUACAACCCAUCUUUCAUUAAUGGCCAAUAGAGUUCAUCCUCGUUUGGCGUCAAAUGUAACGGUACCUGUAAAAUUGUCUUGUGUAAGACCCCGAAAUAAAUAACUAGAUUAUUUAUUCAUUUUCGUUAUAUUAAAUGAUUGGGUGUGUAUAUUCUAUUAUUUUAUGUUAUUCUCCUGACUCGAACCCUAUUGCGAGUCAGGAAUAUUAUUUAUAUGAUAAUUAAGUUCGGAGUAUGUUUAAGGAUGACACUAUAGUCAUUUUGAGUGAUAGCAC